rnacentral:rRNA from 1 species
CCUACGGGAGGCAGCAGUGGGGAAUAUUGGGCAAUGGGCGCAAGCCUGACCCAGCAACGCCGCGUGAAGGAAGAAGGCUUUCUGGUUGUAAACUUCUUUUGUCAGGGACGAAGCACGUGACGGUACCUGACGAAUAAGCCACGGCUAACUACGUGCCAGCAGCCGCGGUAAUACGUAGGUGGCAAGCGUUAUCCGGAUUUACUGGGUGUAAAGGUCGUGUAGGCGGGGAAGCAAGUCAGAUGUGAAAACCACGGGCUCAACCUGUGGCCUGCAUUUGAAACUGUUUUUCUUGAGUGCGGGAGAGGCAAUCGGAAUGCCGGGUGUAGCGGUGAAAUGCGUAGAUAUACGGAGGAACACCAGUGGCGAAGGCGGAUUGCUGGACAGUAACUGACGCUGAGGCGCGAAAGCGUGGGGAGCAAACAGGAUUAGAUACCCCAGUAGUC